UUUUAAAUAUUAUUUAUAAUGGUAUAAGUGGGUAAUUUGGAUGAAGAUUAGGGGGUUACUUUAGUUUAUUUUAUAUAAUGGCAGAGGUGGGUAAUUUAUAUGUAGAUUUAGGGGGUUACUUUAGGCUAUUUACAUAAUGGCAUAGGUGGGUAAUUUAUAUGUAGAUUUAGAGGGUUACUUUAGGCUAUUUACAUAAUGGCAUAGGUGGGUAAUUGUUUAGAAAACAUAGUAGAUCCAAAGGCUAUGAUGAUUUCAAUCUAUCGAUUGAUGGUCGGAUGUUUUGCUUUUUUGUGAGAAUU
rnacentral:lncRNA from 1 species